AACCGUGCUCGUUGUCAAGAGCACGGUUGUAGAUGCUCUUAUACACAAACUACACACUCACUAAUAAGUACACAAUGCACAGUCUCCACCGAUUUCAAUGAUUAGUAGUACUAGUAUAUAUUUUGUACGUAUAGUGAAAUAAAAAAAAGGCUAGUACUGUAGGUGGAUUCUAUACAAACCUUCUAUCUCUAAGAUAUCGAGUUUGAAUCCUUUCCAAUGAUGUGUUUUUGAGAUUCUGCUUGGAAUUUCACUUAGAGCAUCCACUAUGGAUAGGCGCGGCGGUAGCCGCGAGGCGCGGCGGUGGGGCGGCGGAUUAUAGUGGAGAAGGUAUCCGGCCCGGGGGUGGACGCGGCGAGGGGGGGAGACGCGGCGGACGCGCGAUAGCCGUGUGCGCGGCGAUGUCGCGGCGAGGGGUCUAUAGCCGCGCCUAUAGGCGCGGCGGCUAUAGUGGAGUGCACCGCCGCGGCGAAUUCGCCGGUCCCGAGAAAUCUCUCCUUUGAGCUUCUCUGCUGCUAAUUUACUGUAUAUGAAGGUGUUGGCAUGGCUGUGGAGCUAAAAGAAGACGAGAAGGAGGAGAAGGAGGUGAAGAAGAAGACGACGAGGAAGCCGACUCCGACACCGAGUAGGCGGUGGCGGAUUUUUUAGUUGUAUUUUAUUUUACAUAUUCGUUGUAAAAUUUUACCGGUUUGAAAUACAACGAAUAUUCGGCCCUAA